UACAGAGGUCUCAAGCGUUGUUCGGAUUCAUUGGGCGUAAAGGGUGCGUAGGCGGCGCCGUAAGUCAGGUGUGAAAUCUCGGGGCUUAACUCCGAAACUGCAUUUGAUACUACGGUGCUUGAGGACUGGAGAGGAGACUGGAAUUUACGGUGUAGCAGUGAAAUGCGUAGAGAUCGUAAGGAAGACCAGUGGCGAAGGCGGGUCUCUGGACAGUUCCUGACACUGAGGCACGAAGGCCAGGGGAGCAAACGGG
rnacentral:rRNA from 1 species